GUCCUCUUGAUUUAAUUUGAGGUUUGACCUGCCCGGUGAGUUUUAGCUUUAACGGCCGCGGUAUUUUGACCGUGCAAAGGUAGCAUAAUCAUUAGUCUUUUAAUAGAGGGCUGGAAUGAAGGGUUUGACGAAUCAUUAACUGUCUCAUUUUUAUAGUUUAUAAUUUAAUUUUUAAGUUAAAAAGCUUAAAUAUUGUUGGAGGACGAGAAGACCCUAUAGAGCUUUAUAGAUUUCUUUUUUAUAAUAUUUUGUGUUUAAUAUAUUUUUAUUAAUUAGUUAUUUAUUUUGUUGGGGUGACAAAAACACAUAAUAAACUUUUUUAUUUAAUUUACAUUAAUUUAUGAAUUUUUGAUCCAAUACUUAUUGAUUAUUAGAUUAAGUUACCUUAGGGAUAACAGCGUAAUCUUUCUUAGGAGUUCUUAUUUGCAGAAAGGCUUGCGACCUCGAUGUUGGAUUAAGAUUAUAUUUUGGUGCAGUAGCUAAAACAAUAGGUCUGUUCGACCUUUAAAAUCUUACAUGAUCUGAGUUCAGACCGG
rnacentral:rRNA from 1 species